UGGGGAAUAUUGGACAAUGGGGGAAACCCUGAUCCAGCCAUGCCGCGUGAAUGAUGAAGGCCUUAGGGUUGUAAAGUUCUUUUGCCAGGGAAGAUGAUGACGGUACCUGGAGAAUAAGCACCGGCUAACUUCGUGCCAGCAGCCGCGGUAAUACGAAGGGUGCUAGCGUUGUUCGGAAUCACUGGGCGUAAAGCGCGCGUAGGCGGCUUUUCAAGUCAGGGGUGAAAUCCCGGGGCUCAACCCUGGAAUUGCCUUUGAAACUGGAAAGCUGGAGUACUGGAGGGGAUAGCGGAAUUCCUAAUGUAGAGGUGAAAUUCGUAGAUAUUAGGAGGAACACCGGUGGCGAAGGCGGCUAUCUGGACAGUAACUGACGCUCUGGCGCGAAAGCGUGGGGAUCAAACAGGAUUAGAUACCCCCGUAGUCC
rnacentral:rRNA from 1 species